UACAAUGAUAAAAAAAAAAAAAAAAAAAAAAAAAACCCGCAACCUACCAGUCUUCUCUUUCCCUUCCAAUUUUGCCGAACCCCCGAACGAAACACUCAUGGUUCGAUGAUCUCCAAGCACUAAUACAUUCUAUCUGUAGAACCAUGAGGUCAGGCCUUGACCUCUUAUUGAGCCACAUUAUUAAAUUUUCGAUUUCAGAUAUUGAUGGAAGAAGAUCGAACUCUUUCUUCAGAUCCAACAAAGGCGAGCAAAUCAGAGAAAGUGAAAUUGAUCGAAUGGGAAGGUUACGAGCAGGAAGUUGCGAAGUUGUGGGGCCUCUCCUCCGCCCUCAAAGAAUCCGAGGAAAAGAAGCUAAGUCUUCAGCAAAAGCUCAACUCUUUCAUUCAGCGAGCGGCAACAUGGUGGGCAGGUUGAAGCCGAGUUAUUAAGUCAAUCGAAUGAGCUUGAGGAGAUGCACCAGCGAUUGUAAACCAAAAAUUGGCAACGGAAAGCAUUUCGGUUAGUUCUAAGGUUGCAGCAGAGGAUGCUAAAAAGGAAGAGGGGAGGCUUAGCAUGGAAGUCAGAUAUCUGUUUAGCUAGCAAAAAACUGCAGUAAUCAAAGCGGUCUCUUUCUGGGGAGAGGGUUUGUGGUCGUUUUAGAUACCUGCAGAAGAAGCUAAGAAUGAGGCAACGAUGUAUGAUAUCACAAGUUUCAUUGCUUUAUCCUGUAAAGAUAUCAGCUGGACCUUCGGAGGAGCAAGAGCUUGAAUCAUUUCGAAGCACUAGUAAAUUAGGUGAUAUGAUAGUUAUGAAUGCAUGAAAUUAUAAGUGGCGGAGUUGAAAUGCCAAAAGAAGUUAAUCAUCCAGGAAAUAAUUAAGAUUCUUUUCUCGUUUGGAUUUUCCUGAAUUGCUUUGUUAGUUGUUACAAGCUAUGGCAUCUACCUGCAUUUUGGGUUUUUUGGACGACAUGUACAUUUGUCCAUUUGGAUCUGCUAUCAGUUGUUAUUUUUGAAAACCAAGAUUCCUUUCAUGUGUUAAGUUCUGUUGAAUGUUUUAAAGCCUACCAAUUGCAUCAUUAUUUAUAAAUGCUUUUGUACAGGAUCAACAAGCAUGUAGGUUUUUCUGAGCAUUGCAAUUAACUUUAUUGACUCCUUUUUUCCUUCUGUAGUUAUUUCUAGCCUAACACUUUGUUUGGGGGGCCUUUAACAAUGGGCUAAACUAACUAAGUAUGCAUGACUAUGAUAAAUUGUUUUGUUAUAAUCAUUUUCCAUUGCAUUAAUCUUGGUUUGGCCUUUUUCUUUUUUCUUCCUUUUUUCUAUUUGUGUAGUUUUGCUGCCACACUAUUUUCAUAGUAUGUGGCACUAUGUGAUCUGGCUUUUAACUGAAUAAUUAUGUGCCCUGGUAAUUAUUCUAUGAUUGUGACUUCUAAUACACUGUGAAACCUAGAUGUUAGAUUUUUUUUCUUUGGUUGUUUAUUUGUUUCUUAAUUUUCAUUUCUAUGUCUCUACCAGGGAACUAUACUGGAUCUAAACCUGCCAAUCAAGGAUCUUUGACGAUUUUAGGUCUGCAAUUGACCAUGCUUCCUUUCACAAAGAUGAGUUUUUUCACCGACAAGAAGGAGGUCCAGAAGUCUGCAACUGCCCUGGGAUAUGUAGCACGUGUGUUCUUCUCUUUCCUCAACAUAGCAUAAUUAGUUACUUCACCUUUGCCAAUAUUAUUCUGUUGCAUGCAUCAUGGAUUGUUUAUCCUUAACAAUUGCCACCAUUGCAUUCCUCAAUUUAUUUUCAGAAAAUAAAGUGCUUGUUCGCUGUGCUUUUAUUUAUGUAAGAGAGAUCAUAUUUUUCUUCUUGCAAUGUGGCAUAUGCUUGCUGUUCAGGCAAAAUUUUUAAUUGUGUUUACAUAGUCCAAUAAUUUAAGAUGUGCUUUGUCUUCUUUGGGUUUCUUGCAUGCUGUUUUACUCAUUGCUUCCUACUUAGAAGUUCCUUUUUGUUACCCCGUGUGCUUGGUUGGUUCUCGAUCGUAUAUCACUGACUACAUACCUUCUGUGGAGCCUACAUCAUCUGAUCUGUUAUUGACUUCAUCAUCCCAUGUAAACAUGGGGGCUGUUGAAUUUCACCACUUUUUGGAAGGUCGAGAUACAACAAGAGCAGCUUAUGCUGUUUUCCUGUUAAACAAGGUAACUCUGCCUCUUUCCUCAUCUUCUUUAGGGCUGUAUUUCAGAGACUGCAUCUUAUAUCAUUUUAAUAUUCUUAACUCUGCCCAUAGUGUUUCUUUACAUCAGGCUCUUUCUUAGUUUGUUUUGUCUUAUUCUGUUUGGCAAUUUGUUUGGACAAUGAUGUUAUUCUUAUUUGAGGAAUUCUUUACUAGAGGAUGAUGGCGAUGUGUUCUUGGAACUCCAACUUCUCUUCUUUGCUUCCCAUCUUGUUUUACAUGUUCCACUUCUCGAGUUAAAUUUUAGGUGGAGAACAGAAAUUAGCGGUCUGGGGAUGACAGGAAGUCUCAGUAGCACAUCCUGGAAGCCUCUGAAGAUGAGAGAAUUGAAUAUGUUAACUGAUGCUUUUUGAUAAAAAAAAAAAAAUCUGCGGAUUAUAGAUACAUUAGGGUAAUAUUUGAAGAUAAAGUUGGUUUUUCUUAGUUUUGUCUUUUGGAACUUUCUUAGUAUUGUUUUGAUGCAUUGUCCCAAGUGUUAGUAGUAUCUUCCGUUGAUUGUAGGAUUUGGAGCAGCUUUUGAAUUAUAUUGGGGAUAAGUUUUAACAACUGUUCUUGAACUUAUUUAGUUGUAACAUUACAGUCUCUCAAUUUCAAAAUGUAACAUAAAACCUCAUCAACUUUCAUAUUUUGCAUAGUAAAAUCCCUCUAAACUCUAAUCACUGGUUUUUUAGUUAGACGUUGAUCUAGACAGUUCCAGUAUGGAGUUUAGUUAGUAUUUCUCUUUUCUCUCUCAAGCCAUGUGUAAAUUGAAUCGUUAUCCUCUCUAUAGAUAGAAUAAUUUUUUACGUGUAGAGAGAAUAAUUUUACACUUUGCAUAAGAGAGGAGAGAGAAAUGUUGAUAAAACAUCAUUUGGGAGCUGUUCACAUCAGUUUUUAACCGAAAAAUCAAUAAUUAAAAGUUAUAGGGAUUUUACUGUGUAAAAUUUGAAAGUUUAGGAGGUUUUAUGUUAUAUUUUAAAGUUAAAGGACUGUAGUGUUAUAAGCGUAUAAGUUCAGGGACAGUUGUUAAAAUUUAUCCAUUAUAUUGGUGGAAAAAGUUUAGGACGACGUCAUGUACUGGCAAAUUGGAAGUAGCUUACCAGGACAAUUCAGACUGCAGAAGUUUUAGAAACAUAAUUUGAUCUUCCUGUAUUGACCUUAUGUAGGAGCUUCUUCGUAAAUGAAUUGCUUGAAUUCAUACGAAGGUGCAAUUUCUUUUUUUAAUGAAGCACUUUGCCAUUAUCCUUGUCAA